CUCUCCGGACCAAUCAAAUUGUCGGGGCGGGCUUUACACAAUGAUGGAGAGAUGAGCAACAGCUGUCUCGUCUCAAAUCAUCUGAUCACAGAAUAUCUGGGCCCAACCAGGGUGUUAUGAUUGGUGGCAGAAUGUAUGUGACAACUGGACAUCUUCCAUAAUCUCUGUCUUCGUCCAAGGCUGACUUGACAGGAUAAGAGAUAGCACCAGGCAGUGCCUAUGGAGCUGCGCGUGGCUACAUGCUUGUGGAGGCUAGCCACCGAUCUUGCGCUCCAAUCUAUCUCUUACCUCUUUGGUAUGGGAUCGUUGAAUACAUCCAACAUCCUUAAGACAAUACCUUCACACACCAUCACAGUGUGCUGGAGCUGUGGCUGGAACUCAUAAUUGACAUUCUGGCAUCACCUCACAACCCAGUCGACUGCUACAAGGUGUUGCGGACCACAUUAUGAAGUUUUGGGACGUCAACAUUGGCUAGCCGGGGAAGGCUCAUGGCCUGUGUAUUUUCAAACUCCUCCCUUUACGAACAAGGGCAGAAUGGACCUCUGUUGUCAGGCAGGCGAGAAAUCAUUCAGGAUGCACCCCUUGUGAUACUAAUUAGAGGCUGACUGAUUUAUCAGUAUAUUAGGCUUUUUCCAAACUAUCGGUUUCAGCAUUUUUAACAGACAAUAAAUAUUUUUUAAAUCAGUAAAGGAAAACCGCAUAUUGAUCCUUAAUUUAGAUUGCAUUUCCAGUAUUGCCGUUACGUUUGUCCAGCAGAUGGUACAGCAUAUUGCUGCAAGAUACACAUGCUUGACUUUGAUCCACUUCACUUUCUACAAUGAACAUUGACAGUAGUUUGUGUGUAUUCAUGCCUGGAUGAUUUUUGUGAAAUGUGAUUCCCGAAAUAAACCUGAAAAUGUU